rnacentral:lncRNA from 1 species
CCUCUUGCAAAAAAUUUCCUUCAUCCCUCUCCAGAAGAGGAGAAGAGGAAACACAAGAAGAAAUGCCUGGUGCAGAGCACUAAUUCCUACUUCAUGGAUGUGAAGUGCCCAGGACGCUAUAAAAUCAUCACGGUCUUUACUCAUGCACAAACAGUAGUUUUGUGUGUUGGGUGCUCUACUGUCCUCUGCCAGCCUACAGGAGGAAAAGCAAGGCUUAUGGAAGGAUGUUCCUUCAGGAGGAAGCAGCACUAA